GGUAUUGAAAUAAGAUUUUAAUUGAAUGCUAAGAGAAUGGAAGUCCAGAAAAAAACUUUUUUUAAAUUAAAAAUUGAAGUUUUUUUAAUUUGUGCAGAAACAAUUAUUUAUAUUAAAGACAAGAAGACCCUAUGAAUUUAUUAAAUUUUUAUUUAAUAUGUAAUUACUAUUAGAAAAAUUUUGGCUGGGGCGGCUAGAAAAUAUUAUAAACUUUUUAAAAAUAAAAUGAUCCAUUAUUAAUGAUUUUAUGUUAAAUACUCUAGGGAUAACAGCGU
rnacentral:rRNA from 1 species